ACGGGAGGCAGCAGUGGGGAAUAUUGCACAAUGGGGGAAACCCUGAUGCAGCGACGCCGCGUGAGUGAAGAAGUAUUUCGGUAUGUAAAGCUCUAUCAGCAGGGAAGAUAAUGACGGUACCUGACUAAGAAGCCCCGGCUAACUACGUGCCAGCAGCCGCGGUAAUACGUAGGGGGCAAGCGUUAUCCGGAUUUACUGGGUGUAAAGGGUGCGUAGGUGGUAUGGCAAGUCAGAAGUGAAAACCCGGGGCUCAACCCCGUGGAUUGCUUUUGAAACUGUCAAACUAGAGUACAGGAGAGGUAAGUGGAAUUCCUAGUGUAGCGGUGAAAUGCGUAGAUAUUAGGAGGAACACCAGUGGCGAAGGCGGCUUACUGGACUGUAACUGACACUGAGGCACGAAAGCGUGGGGAGCAAACAGGAUUAGAUACCCUGGUA
rnacentral:rRNA from 1 species